UACUUAGUGGCGGACGGGUGAGUAACGCGUGGGUAACCUGCCUUACACUGGGGGAUAACACUUAGAAAUAGGUGCUAAUACCGCAUAAGCGCACGAAGCCGCAUGGAUUUGUGUGAAAAACUCCGGUGGUGUAAGAUGGACCCGCGUCUGAUUAGCUUGUUGGCGGGGUAACGGCCCACCAAGGCGACGAUCAGUAGCCGGCCCGAGAGGGUGGACGGCCACAUUGGGACUGAGACACGGCCCAAACUCCUACGGAAGGCAGCAG
rnacentral:rRNA from 1 species